AUAUCGAUCCGUUAACUUCUUUAU
rnacentral:snRNA from 1 species